AAACCGGAGGAAGGUGGGGAUGACGUCAAGUCCUCAUGGCCCUUACAGGGUGGGCUACACACGUGCUACAAUGGCGCAUACAAAGAGAAGCGACCUCGCGAGAGCAAGCGGACCUCAUAAAGUGCGUCGUAGUCCGGAUUGGAGUCUGCAACUCGACUCCAUGAAGUCGGAAUCGCUAGUAAUCGUGGAUCAGAAUGCCACGGUGAAUACGUUCCCGG
rnacentral:rRNA from 14 species